CAUCCUCAGUUCGGACUGGGGUCUGCAACCCGACCCCACGAAGCUGGAUUCGCUAGUAAUCGCGCAUCAGCCAUGGCGCGGUGAAUACGUUCCCGGGCCUUGUACACACCGCCCGUCAAGCCAUGAAAGCCGGGGGCGCCUGAAGUCCGUGACCCGCGAGGGUCGGCCUAGGGUGAAACCGGUGAUUGGGCUAAGUCGUAACAAGGUACC
rnacentral:rRNA from 1 species